GAAGUUUUUCUUCUUCUCCUCUCUCACUGUGCUGCCGUUCCGGGUUUCUUUCAUUCGAUUCGUUUUAUCUACUGCGGAUCCACCAAAUUUAUCGGGGAACUAGCUGCACCGAUGAAGAAGGAGUUGCAGAGCUUUUGGUUGUUUGACAUCGUUUUGAACCUGGAAGGCUCAGAUCUACAAAAGCCCCCAACUUCCCAGGUUCGAUAUCGCCGGAUACACGACACGCGUCACCGUCCCCUUUACUUUUAAGGCCUUAAGCUCUCAGCCUCUAUUGGUAAUUACUUUCAUGCGCGCGUACUCCUUGCUUAACAUAUCUGAGUCUUCUUCAUCAGAGUUGGUCCACUAUUGAUAUUAACCUUGGGCUGAGGUAUCUCUUUAGUAACAAAGACAUCUUCUUCAUGGAGUUGAGUUCCAAUGCUUCUGAUGUGCUAUACAAGAUUAGAUUCCUUUCCCUCACAUAUAAGGAAAUUCAGGGGUUGAUGUUAAAUAUGAAGAGAUAAUUGAAGCAACCUCAACUGGCUCCAGUUCAAUGAUUUCCAAGAUUGUUCAAAUGGUUGAGGAUGCUCAAGGCCAUGAAGCACCAAUAGAAGGGCUUACUGAUUCAAUAGCUGGAUCUUUUGUAUACAGUAUAAUGACUCUCAGCUACAAUAUUUGCUUUUUGAAACAAAGGGAGGUGGAAUCAGAAAGGAUAGAGAAGAUGCCGGAGGAACAUGCAGCCGUGAACCUGCUUUCUAACUGUGCUCGAGGCUCGACAUGAACAUCACUGGCAGAUAUGGUAUGAUUGCAGAAAAGAAUACAUCUACCUUUGUUUUCUUUAAGAAAUUAUAGAAAAGUUGCUGGAGGAGAGGUAGCAGAUGCAGCUAUGGGGAGGAACAUGAUGAAGAGAUUUAUGUUGUAUUUUAUUUGAAGUUGUAUAUGAAUUGAGGAAGUAUAUUUUAGAAUUAUACAGUACAUUUUGGUGGGCCAAAUUGUUAUUUUUUUUUAUAUAUUCACCAAAUUUUGCCACUGAUGUUGGUGGCAUUGAGAAAACACACUGAUACAAUAAUAGUGGGAGAGAAAAAGGUUAUAUGCUGCAUUGGAUUUUGGUAUGUCACUGUUGUUUUAACAGUGUGGAUUGUCCCAAUAGCACCUGCAAUAGAGGGGACUGAUAUCUCAUUAGUAGCUGCAUAGUGGCUAAUGGCAGUAGCC